UACGUAGGGUGCAAGCGUUAAUCGGAAUUACUGGGCGUAAAGCGUGCGCAGGCGGUUAUUUAAGUCAGGUGUGAAAGCCCUGGGCUUAACCUAGGAAUUGCGCUUGAGACUGGAUAGCUUGGAGUGCGGCAGAGGGAGGUGGAAUUCCACGUGUAGCAGUGAAAUGCGUAGAGAUGUGGAGGAACACCGAUGGCGAAGGCAGCCUCCUGGGCCAGCACUGACGCUCAUGCACGAAAGCGUGGGGAGCAAACAG
rnacentral:rRNA from 1 species